AAGGGUGGGGAUGACGUACAAAUCAGCACCGGCCCUUACGUCCGAGGGCUACACACGUGCUAACAAGUCGGCCGGUAACGAAAGGCGGCUACCUGGUGACAGGAUGCUAAUCUCAAAAGCCGGUCUCAGUUCGGAUCGGAGUCUGCAACCCGACUCCGUGAAGCUGGAAUCGCUAGUAAUCGUGGAUCAGCCAAGCCGCGGUGAAUACGUUCCCGGGCCUU
rnacentral:rRNA from 1 species